UGUAUUUGCAUUGUGACAUCACACACAAAGAGGGAGUUUGGUGGUGAUGACAGUGUAAUACUGCUUUCAGUUUGAUGAAGGCAGCAGAAACUUGUAUGCCCCCAGGGUACCAUUUCUACUAGAUACAUUUUAUUGGAACAGAGCAAGCCUUUUCUGAACAACUCUCAGAGAAAUUUAACUAUUUCUUUGUAUCCUUGUCAAGUUUAACAAAAGUAUGAUUUUCACCCAUAAACUAGUAAACAGCAACCAUGAGAAGAAUGUUACAACAAAACACAACUGCUUUACAGUUAAGGAUAUAAUUGUCCAAAGGAAAUGUGAAUUAAAUGGAUAAAAAGGAUACUUGGACUUUGUCAAUACAUAAAUUUCUAAAGACAACAAAAAAGAAAAUUGAAGACAUACUCACCUAUCCAUCCACACUCCAUAGCGCCUUCCUGCAGCUCCCACCUGUGGAUGGCACCUG